GUGCUCGCUUCGGCAGCACAGACACUAAAAUUGGAACAAUACAGAGAUUAGCAGGGCCCCUGCGCAAGGAUGACAUGCAAAUUUGUGGCGGUUUCCAUAUUUUA